rnacentral:tRNA from 1 species
GGAUCGCUAGCUCAAUGGUAGAGCAGAGGCCUCUUAAGCCUAAGGUUCUGGGUUCGAUCCCCAGGCGGUCCACCA